AACGAACGCUGGCGGCAUGCCUAACACAUGCAAGUCGAACGAGACCUUCGGGUCUAGUGGCGCACGGGUGCGUAACGCGUGGGAACCUGCCCUUAGGUUCGGAAUAACUCCCCGAAAGGGGUGCUAAUACCGGAUAAUGUCUUCGGACCAAAGAUUUAUCGCCUUUGGAUGGGCCCGCGUUGGAUUAGCUAGUUGGUAGGGUAAAAGCCUACCAAGGCGACGAUCCAUAGCUGGUCUGAGAGGAUGAUCAGCCACACUGGGACUGAGACACGGCCCAGACUACUACGGGAGGCAGCAGUGGGGAAUAUUGGACAAUGGGCGAAAGGCUGAACCAGCAAUGCCGCGUGAGUGAUGAAGGCCUUAGGGUUGUAAAGCACUUUUACCCGGGAUGAUAAUGACAGUACCGGGAGAAUAAGCUCCGGCUAACUCCGUG
rnacentral:rRNA from 1 species